AGGGAACUAGCUAACACCUGCACCUGGUCAGCUGAGCAGAAGGAGACAAGGCCUGGACACACACAGGCAAGCCCCAGGGUUGGGGCUGGCUGGAGUUAGUUCUCUGCCAGCAGCCAGGGGGAAGGAGCUCUUGCAGAAAAAGCUAUUUGAAGCUGCCAGUCUCUUCCAGGACAUCAAGCAGAGGCAGCGAGAGGUUUUGCCCGGAGAAGCUUCCUUUGAAGACAGGAGCAACUUCUUCUGAGACAGACCAUUGGGGACAUACUGGAAGCAAUAGCUGUGACUGCCCCAAGGUUGAUUUACCUGCUCCCUACCAACAUCAUGGACCUGCUUACAGGGCCCCUCUGACGCCUACGCUGGAUGGAGGAGGUGAUCCCCGCACACAAGAAUGAAUGAAGACCGUUCUGGUAUCAAUACCAGAAAGACAGACAAUCCCGUGGAAAGAACAUUUUAACUUCCCUGGACAGUCCAUCGCUGACCUCAGGGCAGCUAUUCUUAGGCUGUGGAUGGACCUGCUCUGUGAAUGAAGAGUACGAGGCUGAAGGACUCCUGCCUCGCUGGUCGCGGAGGAUGGAAGGUGAGUAGUGACGGAGGCUGAAAUUGCAAGAAGAG